CCUAAACCUUUCCUAACUAUGGGCUCGGCUGCAAUUUAUGGAGAAAAGCACAUGAGCAGAGGCAGCCUGAAGUGCCAGAGCUGAGGCAAUGCGGCAGGUGCCUCAGCCGCUCAGAUGUGCUCUGUCUGCCUUGGCAGGUCUGGGGGAGCGCGCCGGAGCUCGGGGAGUGUUUUCCAAAUCCCCUACUUCAAGAAGGGAAAUCAGGGUCAUGCCACAUGCUCUGUGUGUCCACCUGAAGUCACUGCUACCAGAGACUAUCAUCCAACAAGCAGGCUCCAUACCAGGUCCACAUGGAGCCCAACAUGGGGUUUGAACUCAGGACCCUAAAAUCAAGACCUGAACUGAGACCAAGAAUCGGUGGCCUAACCAGCUGAGCCACCCAGGCACCCCUAAACGUUAUUAAUAGCCAAUAUAUUCACGGAGCACAGAAUUUUAAAGGAAUAAGAUGGUAUGUAAGUGUAAAUUUCCCCUCCCUUCCACUCUUGUUCCCCAGCCAUUUAUUUUGGAAGCAACUAAUGUUACCCGUUUCUUUUGCAUUAGGGAGACUGUUGGGAAAUAGCUAAUGGCCAAAUAUUGAUUGGGCUGGAACAAGGAAGAAAGAGAUGAAUGACAGAGACAACAGUUUGGUGAUGGUUUCAAGUCCAGGUGACAGUGGCUUGAAGUGCAGCACUGUCACUUGGAAUACAAGGGAGAUUCUGCAAAAUCAUUUCCUAAUCCCUUAAGUUCAUGUCCAAUCAAUUUACAAACGGCACAGAAGGAGUCGAUGAUGACUGAAAUUUUGUCUUGAGACUUGAGGGCUAGUAAGAUGGGAGAAUGAGUUUGGGACAGACAGGGGGAGGAUGUGCAGCAAAGUGAGAUACAGGACAUGUGUACAUGACAGCUGUUCCAUUGGAAAGUGAGGUACACAGCUUGGCAGAUAAAUGCAUAUGGGGCGCCAAGGGCAAGGAAGUGGUAGUUAAAGCUGUAGGUAUAGACAAGCUCAGGAAAAGAGGACCCAGAAGAUGGAGGGGAUGAGUACUGAAAAAAUCCCUAUAUGUAAGAGGGAAGGAGAAGAAAUGGGGCCAACAGAGACUUAGGAGAAAAGGUCAGAGUGCUAGUAUGUGUGUUCCUGAAGCCAAGGGAAGAAAGAAAUUCAAAGAGAGAAGUGGGGGAACUGUCAUUGAUGCCACCACAGUGACAGAUGUGUGAUGUUGUAAAGAGAAGAGCGGGAAGAAAUCACUGACCACCUGGUGAUGAGCAAAUUUCUAAUGAACGUUAAAGGGUGGUUUGUGAAGAGUGGGAGCUGGGUGGAAUAAUGUAAAGGCACUCCAGGAUGUGGUGGCCCAGGACGUGGUGGUCCUUUCUUUCAAGAAUCUGCCACAGAUGGAGGGCGAAAGGAUCGGAGCUGGAAAGGUGAAUAAGGUGGAGAAAGAACUUUUUCUCAAGUGUGGGAGAAAAGAGUGGAGUUAGGGAGAUAUUUGAUGGAACAAGAUCCUGGAAGAGAUUGAAGGAGAAAAAACUGAAGUGAAGAGAGGAAAGCCAGGGAGUUCACACCUAAUCACCUUGGCCAUCUCAGCAAAGUAGCGGAGGUCACCUCCGUGCCCCAGGAGAAAGAGUUUCGUUUUGGAGGUUUGCCAAAAAAUACAGAAAGGAAUUUGACAGCAUAUGGACUUGAGAUGAAAGAAGGGAUUUUCAAAAGGCACUGAAGGUCCAGCUGAGGUCAUACUAAAGAAGCUCCUCUUAUGGGUUGCUUCCAGAUCUUUCCUCCAGUUCCUUGCCACAAUGACAACCUUGAAAAAACAAAAACAAAACAAACAAACAAACAAAAAACCCCAUGCAUCAAGUUAAGACUUUGCUUCUUCAGAUAAUCUGGGAAAUGUAUUCAAGAACUACUAAAUUCUUUCUAUGGCCCGUACAGAGAAGCAGAGGAAGGAAUACAGAGUGCCUUCCAGACAGGUUUCUGGGAGUUCGUUAUCUGUCUCUUCUUUAGAUAGCUUAUGCAAUGAUAUGUGGAAAGAGAACAUAAAUAUCUCAGGCUGAUCAAAUGCAAUUUCUUAAUUAACGUCAUGUGAAAACUACCAAAAGGUAGGGUGCCUGGGUGGCUCAGUUGGUUAAGCAACUGCCUUUGGCUCAGAUCGUAAUCCUGGAGUCCCGGGAUUGAGUCCCACAUCAAGCUCCCUGUUUGGCGGGAAGCCUGCUUCUCCUGCUGACCUCUCUCCUCUCAUGUUUUGUCUCUCUCUCUCUCUCUCAAAUAAAUAAAUAAAAAAUCCUUAAAAAAAAAAAAAAAGAAAACACACCACUACCAAACAGUAUUUACAAGCAAUAUAUUGGUGAGGGUUGGAGAUGAAUGGAGUUAAUAUAGUUCCCUAUGAAUUAGGUCAAUGUAGACAUUUCCCUACAAAUCACUGCUCGUGAUUCUGCAAAGACAGAGUGCGAUGCCUUUCUACUUUUCUUUCCCUCUAAACUUCCCCUUUUUCUCUUCUCUUACCCAUCCUGGAUUGACUCCCAAGAUAUAGAAUAAAGGCAGAGAGGCAGUUUUCCUGCUUAGUGUCAAUCUGUCCGCCACUGCAUCACCAGAUCCCAGGAGAGCAUGGAAGGGAAAGUGCAGGUGUCUGUCUUCAAGUCUGGGUGUACAUCCUCGGCUGGGAGUCCCCGCUGUCCCUCUACAACGAGUUGCUGGUGAGCAUGAACAUGCAGGGCGAUUAUGAGCCAGUCGAUGCCACUGGGUUCAUAGAUAUCAACUCCCAUAGGCUGAAGAACUACAAUCACCUCCAGAGCAAGGUCAGUGCCAAACAGACCACUGACAAUAAGGAUCUGGGCCUCCUCAUUUGCCCAUCUCCCAAGUACAGGCACUAAUUGUGAUAAUUUGUAAUUGUGACUUGUUCUCCCAGGCUGGUAGCCUGGUGGGGGUGCCAGGCCCCAGCUUUGUUCCCUGCUCCUCUGUAGCCUGCCGAAGUGGUCAUCAGAGGGAAGGGUGGGAGAAGCUGCAGUAAGGAGAUGUAAAAUGACAAUAAAAAAAAAGAUACAUGAGGAAAAAAGAUAGAGGUAGUAACGGGGACAUGUUAGUCGUGAAAAACCGUGUCCUGGGAGAAACAUAAGGACUUGCAAACAUAUCCAGGAUUGUAUUCCCAGGUCAAUUGUUCAGUAUAUUUUAUUUAAGAUUUUUUUAUU